rnacentral:rRNA from 1 species
GGUGAACGCUGGCGGCGUGCUUAAGACAUGCAAGUCGAACGGCAGUCUUCGGACUGUAGUGGCGCACGGGUGAGUAACGCGUAACUGACCUACCCCAAGGUCGCGGAUAACGAUUCGAAAGAAUCGCUAAUACGUGAUGUGCUGUCAGAUUGUGUUCUGCUAGUAAAGAUUGAUUGCUUUGGGAUGGGGUUGCGUUCCAUCAGCUAGUUGGUGGGGUAAAGGCCCACCAAGGCGACGACGGAUAGCCGGCCUGAGAGGGUGGCCGGCCACAGGGGCACUGAGACACGGGUCCCACUCCUACGGGAGGCAGCAGUUAGGAAUCUUCCACAAUGGGCGAAAGCCUGAUGGAGCGACGCCGCGUGAGGGAUGAAGGUCUUCGGAUCGUAAACCUCUGAAUCAGGGACGCAAGACACUUCGGUGGGAUGACGGUACCUGAGUAAUAGCACCGGCUAACUCCGUGCCAGCCGCCGCAGUAACAC